rnacentral:rRNA from 1 species
GAUGAACGCUGGCGGCGUGCCUAAUACAUGCAAGUCGAGCGAACAGACGAGGAGCUUGCUCCUCUGACGUUAGCGGCGGACGGGUGAGUAACACGUGGAUAACCUACCUAUAAGACUGGGAUAACUUCGGGAAACCGGAGCUAAUACCGGAUAAUAUAUUGAACCGCAUGGUUCAAUAGUGAAAGACGGUUUUGCUGUCACUUAUAGAUGGAUCCGCGCCGCAUUAGCUAGUUGGUAAGGUAACGGCUUACCAAGGCAACGAUGCGUAGCCGACCUGAGAGGGUGAUCGGCCACACUGGAACUGAUACACGGUCCAGACUCCUACGGGAGGCAGCAGUAGGGAAUCUUCCGCAAUGGGCGAAAGCUUGACGGAGCAACGCCGCGUGAGUGAUGAAGGUCUUCGGAUCGUAAAACUCUGUUAUUAGGGAAGAACAAAUGUGUAAGUAACUAUGCACGUCUUGACGGUACCUAAUCAGAAAGCCACGGCUAACUACGUG